AAAGACCUUGCGCCGAUGGAUGAGCCGAAGUCGGAUUAGCUAGUUGGUAGGGUAACGGCCUACCAAGGCGACGAUCAGUAGCUGGUCUGAGAGGACGACCAGCCACACUGGGACUGAGACACGGCCCAGACUCCUACGGGAGGCAGCAGUGGGGAAUUUUGGACAAUGGGGGCAACCCUGAUCCAGCAAUGCCGCGUGUGUGAAGAAGGCCUUCGGGUUGUAAAGCACUUUUGUCAGGAACGAAACGGACUAGGCUAAUACCUUGGUCUAAUGACGGUACCUGAAGAAUAAGCACCGGCUAACUACGUGCCAGCAGCCGCGGUAAUACGUAGGGUGCAAGCGUUAAUCGGAAUUACUGGGCGUAAAGCGUGCGCAGGCGGUUUUGUAAGUCUGACGUGAAAUCCCCGGGCUUAACCUGGGAAUG
rnacentral:rRNA from 1 species